GACGAACGCUGGCGGCGUGCCUAAUACAUGCAAGUAGAACGCUGAAGGAGGAGCUUGCUUCUCUGGAUGAGUUGCGAACGGGUGAGUAACGCGUAGGUAACCUGCCUGGUAGCGGGGGAUGACUAUUGGAAACGAUAGCUAAUACCGCAUAAUAGUAGAUGUUGCAUGACAUUUGCUUAAAAGGUGCAAUUGCAUCACUACCAGAUGGACCUGCGUUGUAUUAGCUAGUUGGUGGGGUAACGGCUCACCAAGGCGACGAUACAUAGCCGACCUGAGAGGGUGAUCGGCCACACUGGGACUGAGACACGGCCCAGACUCCUACGGGAGGCAGCAGUAGGGAAUCUUCGGCAAUGGACGGAAGUCUGACCGAGCAACGCCGCGUGAGUGAAGAAGGGUUUCGGAUCGUAAAGCUCUGUUGUAAGAGAAGAACGAGUGUGAGAGUGGAAAGUUCACACUUUGACGGUAUCUUACCAGAAAGGGACGGCUAACUACGUG
rnacentral:rRNA from 1 species